CGGCGUGUUUUACAACACCCUCUUCAAUUGCUUAGCACCCAUGUCUGACAUUUCACACCUGAGCCCUCCAGCUGCACGGGAGGAAAAAGCUUUUCAGUGGGAUUACAGCUCCUAAAAGGCUGAUUGUCACACACCCCCAGGCUUUGAUCCAGACCUUCUGCAGCCUCUCAGGGGCCAGGCUCCCUCAAGAGCCAUCUCUCCCCUGAUGGGCACCUUGCAGGUGUCGUGUCUCCUGUCACCAACACUCCUGUGCACACGCUGCUGGCUCCCCAGGCGUGGGCUCCAGAAAUCCCAGCAAAAGGCACGACUCCAUAGGCUGAAACAAAUCCAUUUGGGAAUGUGCACCUGGAUUGAACACGAGCUGUGCUGAUCACAGGAGUGACCUGUGCUCCAUCCAUGCAGUAUCUUGGCAGCAUAGCAAAGAGCCCCCGGAUCCCCCUGGAAAAGCAAAAGGAGAGAAAUGCUUCUGCAUCCUCCUGCAUCGUGGGAAUGUGGUGCUGGGACCCCAGGCUUGGUCUGUGCUCAGAGUGAGCAGUAGCAUAUUAUCCAUGUGCUUCUGCAACCCACCAGCCCCCAGCUCUGCACAGCACUGGACUGGAUGCAACCCCACCAGAAUCACAGUCCUCAGCAGCCCAGAGACAAACCUCCAUCCCAUGAUCUCUGUGCUGUUCAGGCACAAGUAAACCUGUGUCCACUGCCUGGCCCUGUAGAAACCUGUGCCUUUCCUUGAAUGCUCAAGGCUUCAAUCUAGAGACUGACAGCAGAAGUGGGUGGAAGAUUGUCUUGGUUUGAAAAGACAGGAGUCUGUGAAGGAAGGCAAGUGCCUCCCAUGAAAUGGAAAAGGUAAACCCCCUCCCUCCAAAUUACCACAAUUUCAAAAUAAAAAG